AUAGAAUCCCUUUGUGUGUUUGUGCGGUUGGAACACCCCGGACACUUGUUCAUGGAAACUAGUCUUAUAAUAACACCGUUGCAAUUGAGCACAUCACAGCUGGAAUUGCGUAUAGUAGGCCAGAGAUAUGUAUUGCUUCCUAGGCUUCGAGUUUGUGUAAUACCUAGUGUAGAAACAUUAUUAUUUACUUUAUCUCACGUGGAAAUUAUAUAAAUCUAAAGAGUCUCGUGCUAGUAUUUCUUGAAAUUCUGUUUGAUAAGGAUUUUAUAGUGUAUGAAAGUUAUGAGAAUAUGUGUUCUCCUUAUGCUCAUUAUUCCAAUAAUUGAGUGGAUUCCUUCCCUCGUGCUGUAUUGUUGUUUUGGAGCUUGCCCGAGAAGCUUCCCUUCUAGGAGAUUCGCCACGUCACCAAAACAUUGCUCCCAUCUUUUCAGUGACCAUACUGAAAUAUGUGAGUGGUGGUGGCAUAUUGAUGGUAGCUAGGAUAUUUUUGGAUCCUUUUGUAUUCGUUUGACAUGCCUCUCACACAUUUCUUUCAGUGCUAUUCAAGAGAGGGAAUUUUCAUUGAUAGGGCUUGAUGCCAUCUUAUCACCUACCUACUGAAAUAUGUGAAUUAAUGUGGAUUGAUCCAUUGUUUAUUUUAUAAUCCUAUUUAAAUUGCUGUUUUGAUGAUUCCUUAGGCAUGUGAAGACAAAGCAUCUACAAUGGAUUGUGUGGGACAAAUCCUGAGUCGACAAGAUAAAGAUGGAUGCUAUACAAAAGAGAAAAAGAAAGAAUAUGAAACAAUGAAACCAAAGAGAAUAUCAAAGGAGGAGAUACUUCGUCUAAUGGAGGAAAAGAAACAACUGAAAGAACAAGAGAAGCUGCUUACAGCUGCUUCAAAAGCCAAAGGUGCUGAGAUGAAAAAAUAUAAGGAGAUGCAGUAGUGGGAAAUGGGGAAAUAUACUCUAAAAGCCAUUGUAGGUGAAAUUGACAAAAAAGUGGUCGAAUUGGGAUCAAUUGGAGAUUUCUCAAGAUGCAUUUGGAGACGAGCAGAAGAAACAAAGAAAAAAAGGAAAUAUCCGCAAAAAUUAAAGAAAGAAAAACAAACACAAGAAAGCUAUAUAUACAAAAAAAAAAAAAGAAGAAGAAAAAAAAGAAAAAAAUGCAAUAUCUACAAGAGAUAAGAAAAAGAAAAAAGCAAUAUCCACUCGCUAACUGGAGUUGUUGUUCUGGAUACAGAGACAAUGGAGUGCUUGGAAAACAAUUUUUGCUGCUUGUAAGAUGAAGACACAACCUACGCUGUUGCUGCAUGCAAAGGUACUUGGUUUGUGGUUUGCUGUUUAAGUGAGAUGGUUAUUGGUUAAUUUUAUUUUGGUUAUAGCAUGUAGUUUCCAUCAAUAAUCUAGAAAGUGGCUUGCGUAGUUGUUGGUAGUCGUCUAUCACGUCCACAAAGUUACUCGUAGUAACUCAUAAUGCUUGAAUCAAACUAGCUUUUCAAAUAAAAAUGGAAUCACUUUCUCUGCUUGUGUGGUUGGAAGACCACGAACACUUGUUUAUGGAAACCGGUCAUAUAAUAACAGUCUUGCAAUUGAGCACAUACACCUGGAAUUGAGUAUAGUAGGCCAUUUAGGCCAAAAUGGAACAUAACAAUUGGCUUAUUU